rnacentral:rRNA from 1 species
GUAAAGUUCUUUUAUUGAAGAAGAAACAAUAGUGGAAAAACUAUCUUGACGUUAUUCAAUGAAUAAGCCCCGGCUAACUAUGUGCCAGCAGCCGCGGUAAUACAUAGGGGGCGAGCGUUAUCCGGAAUUAUUGGGCGUAAAGGGUGCGUAGGCGGUUUAAUAAGUCUCUAGUUUAAUUUCAACGCUUAACGUUGUCCUGCUAGAGAAACUGUUUGACUAGAGUGAGAUAGAGGUAAGCGGAAUUCCAUGUGUAGCGGUAAAAUGUGUAAAUAUAUGGAGGAACACCAGAGGCGUAGGCGGCUUACUGGGUCUUUACUGACGCUGAUGCACGAAAGCGUGGGGAGCAAACAGGAUUAGAUACCCUGGUAGUCCACGCCGUAAACUAUGAGUACUAAGUGUCGGGGUUAAACUCGGUACUGAAGUUAACACAUUAAGUACUCCGCCUGAGUAGUACGUACGCAAGUAUGAAACUUAAAGGAAUUGACGGGAUCCCGCACAAGCGGUGGAUCAUGUUGUUUAAUUCGAAGAUACACGAAAAACCUUACCAGGUCUUGACAUACUCUGCAAAACUAUAGAAAUAUAGUGGAGGUUAUCAGGGAUACAGGUGGUGCAUGGUUGUCGUCAGCUCGUGUCGUGAGAUGUUAGGUUAAGUUCUAAAACGAGCGCAACCCCUGUCGUUAAUUGCCAGCACGUUAUGGUGGGGACUUUAGCGAGACUGCCAAUGAAAAAUUGGAGGAAGGUGGGGAUUACGUCAAAUCAUCAUGCCCCUUAUGAUCUGGGCUACAAACGUGAUACAAUGGCUGUUA